AAAGCAUGAAUAAGAUGGAGCAGCCAGUGGACAAUACUUUGAAAUCAUCCCAAAAGAGAACAUCCCAAUAGUUCAGUAGCCUAAACGAUGAGUGGUCAAGGAUUUAUUUCAACACUGGACUUGACUCUAUCCCAGCAGUCUUGCCCUCCAUUGUCUCCACAACUAAUAAUCUACAGCCCUCUGGUGCUGAUAAAGUUUUGGAUCAUCCAAACAGCUUAAAGAUGGAGACCACAUUGGAGAAGCUGAGAAGACCACCGUCAACAAUGACACAGAGAUGGAGAUAGCUACUGGGGACAACACUGCUGAAAUCGUCACAGUGGAGACAAAGCCCAAGAAAACUGAUAGGCCGAAAGAGCUGAAGACAAAAAUCCCUUGUCUAUUAGCAAAGGUUGGAAAUAAGGACGGUGGCCGGGUUGGUGAGAAUCUAGAGGUGAAGAUGCGACGUCUUCCACAACGCCACGACACAUGGACAACCCUACAGUGGAGAAUGUAGAACACAGAGAAGAGGGUGUCAUAAAGAACUCAGCCAGAGAGACAGAACCACUUGCUGUCUGCAGAAGGACUCAUGUCUCCUCACACAUCACCAAACAAAGAAAACCCACCAGAGAAUCCCAUAAAACAACACAAAAACGUUACAAAAAACUUUUGACCCAAGAACAACUUUUGUAGUCCCUCUCCAAUCCAAAUCCCAUCGUAGUGUCUCACCUGACCCAUUUCAUGAUUACCUUUUCGAUUAUCCUGAAGCUCAGAACUCUGUAUUUAAAUUAGACAGGGCAAACCCAUUGGUCGCAGGGCACUAAAACUAAAGCUAAAGGUCACAAAAACUAAAGCUAAAGGUCGAAAGACUUUUGUGAUAUCACAUAUUGUGAUUUCAAAUGAGCCCACAUCUAGAAAGGGCAAGAAAGCAUUCAGAGAAAGCAGUAAGACUAAAGCACAGCCUGUCAUGGUGGACCAUGAAUUGCAUAUUGAGGCAGAAGAUGAUGCAUUCAUUCUGUCUCGGUCUAUCAUGGAAGAGGAGUCUCAUUCUACUAAAGGGUGCACAGCCUAUGUAGACAUGGAUGGUGCCCUGCCCGAAUCCGUGGACACAUCCUGCUCUUCCAGUGCUGCGAGACAGUCCACAGCCCGGAGCAGUAAGAGACCUACCACAGUGAAGGGGACGUUUGUAGUCUCGGUGAACAGGGACACAUCCUGCUCUUCCAGUGCUGCGAGACAGUCCACAUCCCGGAGCAGCUGUUCAGCUGAGAGGAUCGUGGUUUUAUGUCUGCUCCCCUCUGCCUCUACUGUACACAGCCUUUCUACAGACAGUGGAGUGGGUAGCCCAGGGUAUAAUGUGCAGUACCCCAACCUUCUUGAAAGAGAAGCAAUGAUCCUCUCUUCCUUCUCUGGGAUGAUCCUGAAUAGCUUGCCUGUAGAAGACAUUCUAGCUCUCUACAGCACCAAACCAUCUGCCGCUUACCUCCACCAGCAUUCCAAGAGCAACAUCGUUCAUCCCUUUACCUUGUCCUACCACCUGUUUGCAAUGCUGGGCUCGUUCAAGGCCGCGGACCACACCAGGAAGCAUACCCAGAAGGUGAAGUGGUGGCUGUCUGUGCAGGGUAACGGAGGUGCUGCCCCUGCUGUACAGAGGGCCUUGGUGCAGUCCUCUUCCUCAUCCACAUCUAACACCUUCCUCAGUGUCAGUGGUGAGUCCUUAAAGGAACAAACAGGGCAUUAUGAAGGAUAACAAGAAUCUCUACAUGAUUAAGGAAAUUCCUAUCCUGCGUUAUUAUACUGUUAUUACAGGGUAUCAGUCCUCCAGUAUGUUUAUCAUAUCACUAGUGGUUUCCUCUAAGUAUCAUUCUAGUGUGUUAUCAUAUCACUAGAGGUUUCCUCUUAGUAUCAACCCUCCAGUGUGUUUGUCAUAUCACUAGUGGUUUCCUCUAAGUAUCACUCUAGUGUGUUAUCAUAUCACUAGCGGUUUCCUCUAAGUAUCAACCCCCCAGUGUGUUUAUCAUAUCACUAGUGGUUUCCUCUAUAUCUGGGUUUACCCAUCUGUAAGGAAUCAAAUGUUUCACUACACCAUAUACAUUACUGUACAAUUAAUGUACACUCUGUAACAAAUAAAUAUGUAUUGCCUAUGUGGAAAGCAGGCAUAUGUCCUGUGUUAAAGUGUUAAUUAUGUGAAUAUGGCGGUAUGAGAUGGUGG
rnacentral:lncRNA from 13 species